rnacentral:rRNA from 1 species
GACGGAGGAUGCAAGCGUUAUCCGGAAUGAUUGGGCGUAAAGCGUCCGCAGGCGGCUGUUCAAGUCUGCUGUGAAAGACCGGGGCUUAACUUCGGAAAGGCAGUGGAAACUGAACAGCUAGAGUAUGGUAGGGGCAGAGGGAAUUCCUGGUGUAGCGGUGAAAUGCGUAGAGAUCAGGAAGAACAUCGGUGGCGAAGGCGCUCUGCUGGACCAUAACUGACACUCAGGGACGAAAGCUAGGGGAGCGAAUGGG